AAAAUUUUAAAAUCCAAGAUCAUUCUCUCUCACUCUCUCUCCCUAUUUUCCCCGUCCUCUCUCUCCCCAUUUUCCCCAAAUCGAUUUUUGAAUUGAACCCUUUCCUAUCAACCUAUUUCCCUUCUCUUCCAACCGUUUCCUCCCGAGCACCAACCUCCGGCUCAUCCCCGUCUCCGGUAGCCACUCAACUCCAACAGUGUGAUUUCGCCUCCGCACAGUGGAGAAGGGGGACGUCCUGUGAAAGAUGGUCGGAUACCACAAAAGAAUCGAUCGACAAAUCUCAGCUUUGAACCAUUUCGCUACCACUAACUUGUUUGGUCUGACGUUUUUUUUUCGCCUAUUACAUUUUUGCCACCACUCUAUUUUGAAGUUAAACGUUACGAUUUAAAUCCUUUUUUUUUUUUUUAAUUUAUGUGUUGAGCGAAUCGAUGCAUGUGCUGAUUGUGUAGAUUGGUUUUUUGCUGUUAUUAAUCUGAGAUUUCAAAAUUUUGUAGCUAGAGAAACUGACUCCAGCAUUUCUGAAUUUAGCAAAUUUACUUCUUGUUGGGAAACAUGAGCUUAUUUUUGAGGUGUAAUAGAGUGGCGAUGUGAUUACAUUGUUAUCCUUCUUUGUUUUGCAAAUGUGAAAUUUUGUGUUGGAAUCAAAUCUGUUGCUGCGAAAGCCUAUAUCUUGGAAUAUAUUUUGGCCGGAUGAAUAUGAAGAAGAGGUAGUUAAUAAGCUAAAGUUUCCAUUCUAUGGUAUUUUGUUUGGCAGAGAUGUUAAAAUUUUCUAUUUCUUCGUUCGUUGGAGAUUUGAUCUGAGAUGCUGAAGUCUCCAUAUUUUUUGUUUGGCAUUUAGUAGACUUAUAAGUCUGUUAAUGUGUUUGAUUAAGGAAGACGGAAUGCCAAGAAAGAACUCCGGAGUUUGCCACAGCUGCAGAAGUGUUGGACACUUCUUUGGUGAUUGCCCGAUAAAACAUCGAUGCGCACGUUGUAUGCAUGGAUUUCAGUUUCGAGGUUGAAAGGGACAUUGUUAACAAAGGCAAAAUUUUCAAAUAUUGCAGUGUGAAGUGCUGGUUUUGGGAAUGGUGCAAAGAUUGAGAAGCAAUCGGUGAAUCUAGUAACGCUAAAGCUACGUUGGCUAAACCAGCGUUCCACGAAGCAGUUGACGAUAUGUCACGAAUGUUCCAAUCUCAAGUUCGGCUAAAUAACAAAGAAGAGAUCUGAUUUCUAUGAAUGUGAACGUGACGGUCCGCCAUGAAAAAUCACCUACCGAAGGAAAAAUGAAGGGGAUAGACACGGCUUGAUUAGUAACUUACGGUGAAAUGGCUAUGUUGUGUUAAGUAGAGGCAUGUUGUAUAUUUGAAUUUGGUUAAUUAGUUUAGUGCAGCCAGUGAAUUUUGGUUGAGCUAGCAGUUUUUACUUCAUGCACUUUGUGCCUUGCUAGCACAUUCGAUGUUUGUUAAAAGUAUAAUUUAAGCAAUUUACUCCACUUAUAUUUGUUGCUAUUUUGAGUGCCUAAUUCAUCUUAAACCUGAAGCAGAAAUAAGCCCUUUUUCAUUCCUCUUCUCCUAAAGCUUUUCUUUCCACUUGAAGAUUCGGAAAUUUACUCCACUUAUAUUUGCAGUUAAGAAUACCAUCUAUCGCAUACACAGAAUCACCUAGAAAAGGAAAUAAAUUUCAACUGACAUUUAUGUGAUAUUGCAGCUUGGAAUGGUAAAUUAUUGAUUAGUGUUUCUGCAUGGGAGCAAAUCACUGCCGGUUACGUAGCAAAUUACUGCAAUUUUCUCUCGAAAUUUCACUAAGAAAUUAAGAAGAACAGUAAGAGAUAUCAUUAAUUUCUUUAGCGGCUUGCAGGCAGAAAAGGAAAGAGAGGAUUUUAUAAACAAAAAGAGUAGCAGCGAAUCAUUUGGACUUAUAAAAUCGUGUUUCUUGAUCUCAUUUUUCCUCUUACCUUGUAACAGGUAUUUUUCUUUGUUCAAGUAUAGAAACAUUAUGCUGCU
rnacentral:lncRNA from 1 species